GAUCAUUUUAUCAGAGACUGUUUGCUGUGCAGAGAGAGAGACUGCACGUGUUAAAAGCACAUUUUCUGGAGCCAGAUUGCCUGGAUUCCAAUCCCAGCUCCACCACUCACCAGCUGUGUAACCUUGGGCACUUCGCUUCUCAUUUCUAGGCUUCAUUCCCUCACUGUAAAUGGGGCUGGACUGCACUGGGGCUAUCGUGGCUCACUGCAACCUCUGCUGUCCGGGUUCAAGCGAUUCUCCUGCCUCAGCCACUCGAGUAGCUGGGAUUACAGACACCCACCACCACACCCAGCUAAUUUUUGUAUUUUUAGUAGAGACGGGGUUCCACCAGGUUGGCCAGGCUGGUCUUGAACUCCUGAUCUCGGGUGAUCCGCCCACCUCGGCCUCCCAAAGUGCUGAGAUUAUAGGUGUGAGCCACCAUGCCCAGCUACAUAUAUAUGUUUUUGCCUUUCCAAUUAGAUAACAAAUCUUUGAGGGUGGGAGCCAGGCUUGUGAUUUUUCUAGUAUUGUUCCAGAGUAUCCUGCGCUGGGCUCAGCACAAAACAGUUGCUCCAUAAAGUCUAGUUGGAUUUAAUUGAAGUACUUCUGUAGCAAAACUUUGCAGCACUUACUUUGGGGCAGCUUUCUCAGCUGG
rnacentral:lncRNA from 1 species